GGAUGUGAGGGCAAUCUGGCUGCGACAUCUGCUCACCACUGAUUGCCAAGGUUGAUUCAGCUGAUCUGAGUGGCUAAGCGGUUGUCCUCUUCCUCCCUCAUGGCUUCGUAUGCAUCCCUCCCAAACAUGCCUGUUCAGUCAAAGAGUACGACCAUCCCCAACAGAGGAGGACCAGUCUUUGGUCAAGAGUAUACGAGUAGCUGCGCUCCCCUGCUAGAAACGCCAAACAAGCUCUCAAGGUGCACAGAUGCUAAGGUGCGUAUACAGACAGAUGUUAGGAUCUGCAUGUCUGUAGAUGUGACUCUG
ensembl:misc_RNA 7SK 7SK RNA